rnacentral:rRNA from 1 species
ACACGACUACAUUAGAUACCCGUGUAGUCCCAGCCCUAAACGAUGCGCGUUAGGUGUAUCGGUGACCACGAGUCACCGAGGUGCCGAAGGGAAACCGUGAAACGUGCCGCCUGGGAAGUACGGUCGCAAGGCUGAAACUUAAAGGAAUUGGCGGGGAGCACCACAACGGGUGGAGCCUGCGGUUUAAUUGGACUCAACGCCGGGAAGCUCACCGGAUAAGACAGCGGAAUGAUUGCCGGGCUGAAGACUCUGCAUGACUAGCUG